CUCUGACCAUUUAUGAUCUCACUACCACAAAUAACAGAAUUCAAACUAUCCACAAACUGUCUCAUGACUCCACAGAAUAUUUUCCCUAAGUACUUGAGGAUCAUCUAUCUGUUUUUUUUUGGAAAACUUAAGGGGAGGUGUUAUGACCCGGCUCGAGGCUGCAACAUAAAAAAGGAGACGAAUAUCAGAGUGUAAGUGAGAAGAGGUUUUAGCUUAAAAUGACAUCCCAGGUUGGCUCAAAUGGCUGUUGCCACAAAGGCAACGACUAGUGAGCUUCCUGAAUAGCCUGCCACAGGUAUGCGUUUAUUUAUACCUUACUAGGUGUGGCCAAUUAGCAACAGCUGAACACACUGAGGAGAUUAGGGGCUGCAGAGGGGCGUAACACCACCUCACUCAAAAGGGUUCCUCUAGGACCCCUAAAUUUAUUAAGCCAAAGCCAAAACUUGAGCAGUUUAUUACCUGCUCUCCUGACACAAAACUAAAUACUCGCAUUUCUUAAGUUGGCAUCUUUUUUUUUUUUUUUCAUCCUUUUUUUUUUUUUUUUUAGGACAGGGGGAAAGAAUGAAAGAAAGAGGGGGAGAGAAAGAAAGAAAACCAAAGGGGAGAAGAGACGGUGAGAAGGGGGGGAAGAGAGAGAGAGAGAAAAAAAAACAAAAAACUCCUGGGUCACCUGUAUGGAGAGAGAGAAAAACAAAAAAAAAAACAGGGGAGACAGCAAACAACAAAGAGCAACAUAAUAAUAGAAAGAAAAAAAAAGCACCAUCACAAUAAACUAGCUAGUCAUAGAUAUCAAUAGUUACUAAAUAAUAAACGAUAUUGUGCAGCACGCAAGAUAGACAGCGCACAGUGUGCUUUGAGGCAGCAGCCAAGAAAGCUGUAGUCCGCAUCUGUGAAUACCCAUGUGUACACCUGUGUGCAUACCUGUGUCCUGGAGGUGUACAGGUCCUGCAGAGAUGGGAGUCUGCAGCCAAUCACCUUCUCAGCAGAGCGCACAACACGCUGCAGUCUCUGUUUGUCCCUGAUAGUGGCUCCAGCGUACCACACGGUGAUGGAGGAGGUGAGGAUGGACUCGAUGAUUGCGGUGUAGAAUUGUAUCAUCAUCCGUGUUGGCAGGUUGAAUUUCUUCAGCUGCCUCAGGAAGUACAUCCUCUGCUGGGCUUUCUUAAUGACGGAGGUGAUGGUGGGCUCCCACUUCAGGUCCUGGGUGAUGGUGGUACCCAGGAAGCGGAAUGAGUCCACAGAGGUGAUAAGGGUGUCAGUCAGGAUGAUGGGGGGAGUGGAGCUGUGUGCUUCCUGAAGUCUACAAUAAUCUCCACUGUCUUCUGGGCAUUCAGCACCAGGUUGUUGUGGCUGCACCAGGACACCAGACGUUCAACCUCCCUCCUGUAGGCAGACUCAUCCCCAUCCGAGAUGAGUCCAAUAACGGUGGUGUCAUCUGCAAACUUGAUUAGCUUGAAAGACUGGUGGGUGGAGGUGCAGCAGUUGGUGCACAGGGAGAAGAGCAGAGGGGAAAGAGCACAGCCCUGAGGGGAGCCGGUGCUGAUGGUCCGGGAGUACGAGACAUUCUUUCCCAGCCUCACAUGCUGCUUCCUGUCCGUCAGGAAGUCAGUGAUCCACCGGCAGAUGGGAUCAGGCACAUUCAUCUGGGAAAGCUUGCCUUGGAGAUGGUCUGGAAGGAUGGUGUUGAAGGCAGAGCUGAAGUCCACAAACAGGAUCCUGGCGUAGGUUCCUGGGGAGUCCAGAUGCUGCAGGAUGAAGUGUAGAGCCAUGUUGAUAGCGUCGUCUACAGACCUAUAACCUACGUUGUUGGAGAGAGAAAUAACAUCGUGGAAGAGGAGCUUAUCACACAUUUGAUUUCCAUGUGUGACAACUGCAAGUGUCCAGAGUGAGGACAGACUGAGGGAGCCACUGCUGCACAUCACCUGUGAGGCUUUGCACCCCUGAUGAUCCACCAGGACAAACUCAGCAGUGAGGAAGAGGAGGAGGAAGAGCCAGCAGCAGCUGACAGAUGGAGAGAAUAGACAGACUGUUCCCUGUUUGUGAAGGACUGCUAGGAAAGUUUAAAAUAACUAAUUGCCUGUCCUGAAUCAGUCUCAUUAGGUAAUGUUCAAAAUAUUUUAUCAUUCCAGUGUUUUCAGUGUGGGAGAAAGUACUCAGGGCCUUCAAGUUACACACUAUGAAAGGCAGCAACAAGUUUAAUAUUCAGAAACCUAAAGUACAAACCGGAUUCCAAAAAAGUUGGGACACUAAACAAAUUGUG
ensembl:lncRNA